rnacentral:lncRNA from 1 species
AAGAAAAGUGUCAAUUUUAGCUAUCUAGAUGGGUUUUCGUGUAGUCACUACCUGUAUGUUCCAUUUUAUCCGCAGAAAGCAAAGACAGAACAGUCAAUAGGAGGAAAAGCUGUCCCUUCCCUUUAGAAAAUAAUAAGGGGAAAAAAAACCACAACGAUGUCAGACAUGAUCAAUCUCACCAGAGGGAUGGGAAUGCCUUCUUCAGGAACUGGUCCUUCAGGCAAGGUCACAGAAUCAAUCAAGAAAUAAGGAGAGCUUCCCUGCAACCACCAACACAUAAUGUAAGUUAAAAAUGAGUGGUUUCAUAAACCAUUGAGGUUUUGAGAGUGAUUAUGCAGCAAAGAUUCAUGAUAAGCACAAUACAUACACUUUUAUCAUGCUUUUCACAUUUAAUAUUUUGAUAGUACAUUAAUUGUCUUUUGUCACAUAACAUUAUCAUCCAAAACUUGGAGGCUUGAAACAGCACCCAUUUACUAUCACACACUCUGUGGAUCCGGAGUUUGGUGCCAGCUUACCUGGAUACCCUGUUUAAGUGUAUAAAGUUACAGUCAACAUGUUGACCAGUAGUGUGGUCUCAUGUGAGACUCAACCAGGGAAUAAUUUACUUUCAUGUUCCAGGAGUUGUUGGCAGCAUUCAGUUCCUUGCAGGCUGUCAAGCUGAGGAUCAAAAUUUCUCACCCACCAUCUGCUAGAGAUCCUCCUCACUUCCUUGCCAUGUGGCCUUCUCCAUAGGGAGAUCUCACAACAUGCCAGCUUCCUUCAUCAAAUCCAGAAAGGGAAAGUGUGACCUGUAGCAAUGUUGGUGCUACAAACUGCCUAACAUUAUCACUGAAAUGAUAGCCCAUCACCUGUACUGUAUUUUAUUGGUAAGAUGAAAGACAUAGCUACUGCCU